GUGCCCAAAAAAUUGUAAAUGGCGUGAAUGCAGGAGCCGUCGCAGGAAUUGGUAUCGUGAUGUUCCUGGUAGGAGUUGCAGCAGGUUUUGGAGGGGCAUGGUGGUUCUGGAACUAUAGGAGACGUACCAUGGACAUACAAUACAACAGGUCGGAAUUCAAGAUGGAUGCAGUUCCGGAGGACGCCCAGGUUUUGGACUCUGAGCGUGCGAGAGCACCGUCGUAUUAAUGAUCUUAUUGAUGUGACCUUAAGGGAUUAUUUGGUGACUUUUAUUCUUUUUUGGCAUCCAUGUCCAGGUUUUAAGUACCAGUAUCGCCUUGUAAUAUAUCCAAGAUAAAGCAGCUCAGUACAAAUAGUAUACAAGCUUUGACUCACAUUCUAAUCGAUAGACAGCGCAUCAGAUGCCUUUCCUCUUUCUUCAUGUAAGAAUAUUUGAUCUACAUCAGCUUCUAUUUCAAUACAAUCCAAUUGCAUUUGAAAUCAAAUGUUACCGAAACAGGACAUAUGGUUGUCAAGUGAUCAUUCUAGUGCUUUAAUAUAGCACUGUACAUAAUCAUGUUUUAAGCCUGCAAUGCGUACAAAAAUUGUCGUAGCCACUGCAUUCGUAAAUGUUGCAUCAGUGUUUCCAUGAAAGUCAAGGGUAACGAAGGCAGCUUGUACCUAAACAAUGUGUGUGUUCAGAGUGAAUGUCAUAUUAAAUGAUUAGCUUAGUAUUUAAUUAAAAUUGUAACAAGGAACAUUAGCUUUAACAAAAGUGGCAGUGGUGCCAACCGCAUUGACCUUUUAUGUGUUCAGACCGCAACUACGGCAAUACGGCGCCUGGUUACAUGUAGUUAUCUUUAUUUCUUAUUGAUAAUUUGCAAUAUAAUGUUCUGAUUAUCAUCUCGGAUAUAUCUCAUAAUAGCAAACUGGCUGACAAAUGUGUUAGGUAGGACUGAAAGAAUAUAUUUACAGUUCAUCUGAGGAGAUCUUCGACAGUUUUGUUUCAGCAGAAAUAUUUGGAACAUUAAAGGCUUAUCAACGUCUCCUAACACGAAGGUAUAUUGAAGGCAGUGUAUAUUUCGUCAUGUAAUGUAAUGUUAUAAAUUGUUAACAGCAUUCUUUCUCAACCAUCCAAAGUCAGCGAUUUGUUAUUAUUAUUUUUUUCCUUCAAAAUGUAUUAACUUGUUCAUUUUAUUCUAUUGUUUGUUGUGCAUGUUUCUGAAAAAGCAUCGAGUUAUUGCCUGGGCUUGAAGAAUGCGUUCCCAUUUUUUUUAUCAUCGAAACUUUUCGUAACAUAAUUCGUGUAUCACGUAUAAUUAUAUAUUUGAACACUAUCAUAAUAACAACAACGUUUUAUUUCCGAAAAUGAAAUGAUUUCAUUGAAUAAAUGAAAAUGAUAACAUACAAUUAGAAAAAUCUCAUAUUGCUGUAUUCAUAAGAUUAAUUUAAACUCUUUUCUUUAUUCAUGAUGUUGACAUCUGCAUUCAUUUCCAUGUUAUAUAUACAUGUUUAUAUGUUGACAAAACGUGACAAUGUUUACUAUACAUUUAAAAUGCAAUAUUUACAUGGUUUCUCCCCUGAGAUUCUACCAUCUUGUUUUGAUGACGCAAUACACAAAACUGAUUUACACCUCGCAUAUAUCUAUUUACACAAAAUACAAGAAAUCAAAUAAAACAUAAUAUCCUAUUCUAAAGACAACAAUAAUAAGAUAUGUACAUUAAUAAAUUUUGGCUGUGGUGUGGAAUUUUUAAAGAGAAAAGAGGCUAUCUAUUCCUACAGUAGCAGUUACAGCAAUACAAAUACAACUGUCGAUCACUGAAACUUUAUUCUACUCAUCGCCCCCAUCUGGGUCCAAGUCCACGACUGAAAUAUUUUGCUUGAUGUUGCACUUUUACAUAAAAAAUCUCAAGAUUUAAGUUCGAGCCUUGAC